AGCGAACGCUGGCGGCAGGCUUAACACAUGCAAGUCGAACGGAUCCUUCGGGAUUAGUGGCGGACGGGUGAGUAACACGUGGGAACGUGCCUUUUGGUUCGGAACAACACAGGGAAACUUGUGCUAAAUACCGGGAUGUGCCCUUCGGGGAAGAUUUAUCGCCAUUAGAGCGGCCCGCGUCUGAUUAGCUAGUUGGUGAGGUAAAGGCUCACCAAGGCUACGAUCAGUAGCUGGUCNGAGAGGAUGAUCAGCCACACUGGGACUGAGACACGGCCCAGACUCCUACGGGAGGCAGCAGUGGGAAUCUUGCGCAAGUGGGGAAACCCUGACGCAAGCCAU
rnacentral:rRNA from 1 species